rnacentral:rRNA from 1 species
AGAGUUUGAUCCUGGCUCAGGAUGAACGCUAGCUACAGGCCUAACACAUGCAAGUCGAGGGGCAGCGGGGAACAAGCUUGCUUGUUCCGCCGGCGACCGGCGCACGGGUGCGUAACGCGUAUCGAAUCUGCCCCAUACCCGGGAAUAGCCUUGCGAAAGUAAGAUUAAUGCCCGAUGUUCUCCGUAAUUCGCAUGUUUUUCGGAGCAAAGAUUCAUCGGUAUGGGAUGACGAUGCGUAGCAUUAGGUAGUAGGCGGGGUAACGGCCCACCUAGCCGACGAUGCUUAGGGGUUCUGAGAGGAAGGUCCCCCACACUGGAACUGAGACACGGUCCAGACUCCUACGGGAGGCAGCAGUGAGGAAUAUUGGUCAAUGGGCGAGAGCCUGAACCAGCCAAGUCGCGUGAGGGAAGAAUGGUCUAUGGCCUGUAAACCUCUUUUGCCAGGGAAGAAUAAAAGGUACGUGUACCUUCUUGCCAGUACCUGACGAAUAAGCAUCGGCUAACUCCGUGCCAGCAGCCGCGGUAAUACGGGGGAUGCGAGCGUUAUCCGGAUUUAUUGGGUUUAAAGGGCGCGUAGGCGGGACGCCAAGUCAGCGGUAAAAGACUGCAGCUAAACUGUAGCACGCCGUUGAAACUGGCGACCUGGAGACGAGACGAGGGAGGCGGAACAAGUGAAGUAGCGGUGAAAUGCUUAGAUAUCACUUGGAACCCCGAUAGCGAAGGCAGCUUCCCAGGCUCGAUCUGACGCUGAUGCGCGAGAGCGUGGGUAGCGAACAGGAUUAGAUACCCUGGUAGUCCACGCCGUAAACGAUGCUCACUGGAUCUUGGCGAUACACUGCCAGGGUUCAAGCGAAAGUAUUAAGUGAGCCACCUGGGGAGUACGUCGGCAACGAUGAAACUCAAAGGAAUUGACGGGGGCCCGCACAAGCGGAGGAACAUGUG